UACGUAGGCAGCAAGCGUUGUUCGGAGUUACUGGGCGUAAAGGGUGUGUAGGCGGUUGGAUAAGUGUGGUGUGAAAUCUCCCGGCUCAACUGGGAGGGUGCGCUACAAACUGUCUGACUAGAGUGUGGGAUGGGAAAGUGGAAUUCCUGGUGUAGCGGUGAAAUGCGUAGAUAUCAGGAGGAACACCGGUGGUGUAGACG
rnacentral:rRNA from 1 species